rnacentral:tRNA from 1 species
GCGGUCGUGGCGGAACUGGCAGACGCGUACGUUUGAGGGGCGUAUGGGUGACCGUAUGGGUUCAAGUCCCAUCGACCGCACCA